rnacentral:rRNA from 1 species
GAUGAACGCUAGCGGCAGGCUUAACACAUGCAAGUCGAGGGGCAGCGCGGGAUAGCAAUAUCCUGGCGGCGACCGGCGGAAGGGUGCGUAACGCGUGAGCGACAUGCCCGUUGCCCGGGGACAACCGGUGGAAACGCCGACUAAUCCCCGAUGGGAUACGAUGCUUCAUGGCAUUGUAUUGAAAGUUACGGCGGCGACGGAUUGGCUCGCGUCCGAUUAGCUGGUUGGCGGGGUAACGGCCCACCAAGGCUGCGAUCGGUAGGGGUUCUGAGAGGAAGGCCCCCCACAAGGGGACUGAGACACGGCCCAUACUCCUACGGGAGGCAGCAGUGAGGAAUAUUGGUCAAUGGGCGGAAGCCUGAACCAGCCACGCCGCGUGCGGGAAGGAGGCCCUAUGGGCUGUGAACCGCUUUUGCCUGGGGGCAAUAAGGGCGUCGCGCACGUCCGAUGAGAGUACCAGGCGAAUAAGCAUCGGCUAACUCCGU